rnacentral:rRNA from 1 species
UACGAAGGGGGCUAGCGUUGUUCGGAAUUACUGGGCGUAAAGCGCACGUAGGCGGAUACUUAAGUUAGGGGUGAAAUCCCAGGGCUCAACCCUGGAACUGCCUUUAAUACUGGGUAUCUUGAGUUCGAGAGAGGUGAGUGGAAUUCCGAGUGAUUAGAGGUGAAAUUCGUAGAUAUUCGGAGGAACACCAGUGGCGAAGGCGGCUCACUGGCGUCGAUACUGACGCUGAGGUGCGAAAGCGUGGGGAGCAAACAGG